UACGUAGGGGGCAAGCGUUGUCCGGAAUCAUUGGGCGUAAAGAGCGUGUAGGCGGCCCGAUAAGUCCGCCGUGAAAGUCCAGGGCUCAACCCUGGGAUGCCGGUGGAAACUGUCGGGCUAGAGUCCGGAAGAGGCGAGUGGAAUUCCUGGUGUAGCGGUGGAAUGCGCAGAUAUCAGGAGGAACACCAACGGCGAAGGCAGCUCGCUAGGACGGUACUGACGCUGAGGCGCGAAAGCGUGGGGAGCGAACAGG
rnacentral:rRNA from 1 species